UGUAAAGCAGACCUCUGAUGAGGGGCAUGGC
rnacentral:piRNA from 1 species